AUGUCUUUUUGAUUUUGAUUUAAGGUUUAAUCUGCUCAAUGAUUAAUUAAAUUGCCGCAGUAUUUUAACUGUGCUAAGGUAGCAUAAUCAUUAGUUUCUUAAUUGGGAACUGGAAUGAAUGAUUGGACAAGAUGAUUUCUGUCUCUUUUUAAAUUGAUUUUAAAUUUUAUUUUUAAGUUAAAAAGCUUAAAUAAUUUUAAAAGACGAGAAGACCCUAUAGAAUUUUACAUUAUAUUAUUUUUAGUAACUUAUGUUAAUGUUUAUUUGGGGUGACUUGAAGAUUAAAUUAAUUCUUUAAAUUUUAUAUUGAUGAUAAUUAAUUUGAAAUUUUAAUGAUUUUAAAAAUAAAACGAAUUACCUUAGGGAUAACAGCGUAAUUUUCCUUUAAAGUUCUUAUUAUAAGGAAAGUUUGCGACCUCGAUGUUGGAUUAAAAUUUAUUUUUGGCGCAGUAGCUUAAAAAUUAGGUCUGUUCGACCUUUGAAAUUUUACAUGAUCUGAGUU
rnacentral:rRNA from 1 species